rnacentral:lncRNA from 1 species
GGAACACUGCAGGAUUCCAGAGGCUGGCUCCCAGAGCAGGCAGCUGAAAACCUUCAGGGAUGGGAACACCGCAGGAUUCCAGAGGCUGGCUCCCAGAGCAGGCAGCUGAAAACCUUCAGGAGUGGGAACACUGCAGGAUUUCAGAGGCUGGGUUGCAGACCAGGCAUCCAAAAACCUUCAGGAGUGGGAACACUGCAGGAUUCCAGAGGCUGGCUCCCAGAGCAGGCAUCCAAAAACCUUCAGGAAUGAGAACACUGCAGGAUUCCAGAGGCUGGCUCCCAGAGCAGGCAGCUGAAAACCUUCAGGGAUGGGAGCACUGCAGGAUUCCAGAGGCUGGCUCCCAGAGCAGGCAGCUGAAAACCUUCAGGGAUGGGAACACUGCAGGAUUCCAGAGUUGGCUCCCAGAGCAGGCAGCUGAAAACCCUCAGAACCCCGGUGAGUUCCCGAUCCCGGGCAGCCAGACCCAUCCUUGGCGCCUGUGCCAGCCGCUCACACAGGCAUGGGCUCUCCAGUGGCACAGGAAGGUCCAGGAGCAGGAUCUGUCCUGCAGGAGCAGCCAGGUGGGGCUGUCCCUGUGUCACCUGUGCCCCAGCAGGGCACCAUGGCUGUGGCAGAGCUCCAUGAAGUCACAGCAAGAAGCUGAAGCUACCAGGGUUGUCCUGUGCCAUCCCCACCUGGGACAGUGA